rnacentral:rRNA from 1 species
UACGGAGGGGGCUAGCGUUGUCCGGAAUCAUUGGGCGUAAAGCGCGUGUAGGCGGCCCGGUAAGUCCGCUGUGAAAGUCCAGGGCUCAACCCUGGGAUGCCGGUGGAUACUGUCGGGCUCGAGUCCGGAAGAGGCGAGUGGAAUUCCUGGUGUAGCGGUGAAAUGCGCAGAUAUCAGGAGGAACACCAAUGGCGAAGGCAGCUCGCUGGGACGUGACUGACGCUGAGACGCGAAAGCGUGGGGAUCAAACAGG